GGUGAAGCGACUGGCCUAGUGUCACACAGACGGGGUGGGGCAGAGCGUUUCCCAAACCACGUGGCCAUGGAAGCCUUUUCUGGACCAGAGUUGAUGCAUAAAGAUGUGAGCCCUGCCUGGGGCUAUGCGGCAAGGCGGCGGGGCAACCCCUGAGGAAGGAGGGACUCUGCCUCAGUGUGCAGGAGAGCAAGUGGCUCAGAGAGAUUGAACCAUGAGCCUGGGUCACACAGCAUGGAGAUGGGGAAACUGAGGCUCAGAGCAAUUAAAGAAGGUAUCCUGAGCACGCAGCUACAGGCCAGGGGCAGGGCCAGGAUCCCUGCAGGCCCCGCGGGCAGCUCUGCCCCGCCCGCCGCA